GCCUUGGUGGAUCAAUUGGUAGAUCAUCCCCAAGGCCUAGUCAAUGUUGCAAUACUUUGUGCCGUUCAGAAAAUGGGGGUUCGAAUCCUCCCCAAGGCG